rnacentral:rRNA from 1 species
GACGAACGCUGGCGGCGUGCUUAACACAUGCAAGUCGAACGGAAAGGCCCUGCUUUUGUGGGUUGCUCGAGUGGCGAACGGGUGAGUAACACGUGAGUAACCUGCCCUUGUCUUUGGGAUAACUUCAGGAAACUGGGGCUCAUACCGGAUAGGAGCUCCUGCUGCAUGGUGGUGGUUGGAAAGUUUCGGCGGUUGGGGCUGGACUCGCGGCUUAUCAGCUUGUUGGUGGAGUAGUGGCUUACCAAGGGUUCGACGGGUAGCCGGCCUGGGAGGGGGAACGGCCUCCUUGGGACUGCGAUACGGCCCAGUAUCCUACGGGAGGCAGCAGGGGGGAAUAUUGCGCAGUGGGCGGAAGCCUGAUGCAGCAACGCCGCGUGCGGGAUGACGGCCUUCGGGUUGUGAACCGCUUUCGAAUGUGACGAAGCGUGAGUGACGGUAAUGGGUAAAGAAGCAACGGCUAACUACGUG